rnacentral:rRNA from 1 species
UAGAGGAAGUAAAAGUCGUAACAAAGGUUUCCGUAGGUGAACCUGCGGAAGGAUCAUUACCGAGUGAGGGCCCUCUGGGGUCCAACCUCCCACCCGUGUUUAUCGUACCUUGUUGCUUUCGGCGGGCCCGCCUCACGGCCGCCGGGGGGCAUCCGCCCCCGGGCCCGCGCCCGCCGAAGACACACAAACGAACUCUUGUCUGAAGAUUGCAGUCUGAGUACUUGACUAAAUCAGUUAAAACUUUCAACAACGGAUCUCUUGGUUCCGGCAUCGAUGAAGAACGCAGCGAAAUGCGAUAAGUAAUGUGAAUUGCAGAAUUCAGUGAAUCAUCGAGUCUUUGAACGCACAUUGCGCCCCCUGGUAUUCCGGGGGGCAUGCCUGUCCGAGCGUCAUUGCUGCCCUCAAGCACGGCUUGUGUGUUGGGCUCUCGCCCCCCGCUUCCGGGGGGCGGGCCCGAAAGGCAGCGGCGGCACCGCGUCCGGUCCUCGAGCGUAUGGGGCUUCGUCACCCGCUCUGUAGGCCCGGCCGGCGCCCGCCGGCGAACACCAUCAAUCUUAACCAGGUUGACCUCGGAUCAGGUAGGGAUACCCGCUGAACUUAAGCAUAUCAAUAGGCGGAGGAA